UCACUGUAGCAGCCCGGUGUUGGAGGUCGGGCAUGCUCCUGAAACGUCCACUGCGAACCGAUCCACCGAAAUGAGCGCGAUUAAGAUGAAAAUACACACAAGCAAGACACAGGAACGUUUUUAAAUCGUAUUUUUGCCCAGCUGCUAACCUGCGACUUGACGCAAACCGUGGAGGAGCCGCAGAAGAGCUUUGGGAAGUGUCCGUCCGUUUUGUCCUACAAAGGCGGCGGGUGUUUGACAGCGGGAGGGCCCGACGUUAGGAAACCGCUGCGGCUGGAGGAGGAGGAGGCAGGAGAAGAAGGAAGAAGGCUCCCUGAAGACUCAAUGAAACAUUAAGGAGUCAUUUUUGCUGAGGGAAGCGAGCUGAAUCAUGAGGAAGGACGUGAGGAUACUCCUCGUUGGAGAGCCCAAGGUGGGGAAGACGUCACUGAUCAUGUCUCUGGUUAGUGAGGAGUUUCCUGAUGAGGUUCCUCUCAGAGCUGAAGAGAUCACCAUCCCAGCUGAUGUGACCCCAGAGAGGGUUCCCACACACAUCGUGGAUUACUCUGAAGCAGAGCAGACUGAUGAGCAACUCUAUCAAGAAAUAUCCAAGGCAAACGUGAUCUGCAUAGUUUAUUCAGUAAACAACAAGAAGUCCAUCGAAAAGGUGACAAGCCACUGGAUUCCUCUUAUAAACGACCGCACAGAUAAAGACAGCAGGGUACCACUGAUUCUCGUGGGGAACAAGUCGGACCUGGUGGAGCACAGCAGCAUGGAGACCAUCCUGCCCAUCAUGAAUCAGUACCAGGAUAUUGAGACCUGUGUAGAGUGUUCUGCCAAGAACCUGAAGAACAUCUCUGAGCUUUUCUACUACGCCCAGAAGGCUGUUCUCCACCCGACUGGACCCCUAUACUGCCCAGAAGAGAAGGAGUUGAAACCUUCCUGCAUUAAGGCUUUAACUCGGAUAUUUAAAAUCUCCGACCUGGACAACGAUGGGGUCCUGAACGACAACGAACUCAACUUCUUCCAGAAAACCUGUUUCAAUACGCCUUUGGCACCUCAAGCCUUAGAAGAUGUGAAGAACGUGGUGAGGAGGAACAUGACCGACGGAGUCAGAGAUAACGGACUCACCCUCAAAGGCUUCCUCUUCCUGCACACUCUGUUCAUCCAGCGAGGUCGACACGAAACCACAUGGACGGUGCUGAGGAGGUUCGGAUACGACGACGACCUGGAGCUCACGCAGGAAUAUCUGUUCCCUCUGAUAAAAGUCCCUCCAGACUGCACCACCGAGCUAAACCACAAUGCUUACCUCUUUCUGCAGAGUGUCUUUGACAAACACGACAAAGACAGAGACUGUGCGCUUUCCCCAGAGGAAGUGAAGGACCUGUUCAACGUAUUUCCCUACAUGCCCUGGGGUCCAGAUGUCAACAACACGGUGUGCACCAACGAUGAGGGAUGGAUCACAUACCAGGGAUACCUCUCCCAGUGGACGUUAACAACAUAUCUGGACGUCCAGAGGAGUCUGGAGUAUUUAGGUUACCUCGGCUACUCCAUCAUCUAUGAACAGGAGUCCCAAGCUGCUGCUAUUACUGUGACGCGUAACAAGCGCAUAGAUCUGCAGAAGAAACAAACUCAGCGAAGCGUCUUCCGGUGUAACGUGUUGGGGGCGCGCGGCAGCGGGAAAAGUGGCUUCCUGCAAGCCUUCCUCGGCAGAAACCUGCAGAGACAGAUGCGGAUCAGAGAAGACCACAAGUCCUACUAUGCCAUCAGCACGACCUAUGUUUACGGUCAGGAGAAGUACCUGCUGCUCCACGAGGUGAUGUCAGAUUUCGACAUCCUGUCCGAGCCCGACCUGUCCUGCGACGUGGUCUGCCUUGUGUACGACGUCAAUGAGCCUCGUUCCUUCGAGUACUGUGCUAAAGUCUACAAGGAAUGCUUCCUAGACAGCAAGACGCCCUGCGUCGUGGUCGCUGCCAAGUCCGACCUGCACGAGGUUCGGCAGCAGUACAGCCAGUCGCCGCUCGACUUCUGCCGCAAGCACAAGCUCCACCCACCGCAGCCAUUCACGUGCAACACGACCGAAGCGCCCAGUAAGGACCUCUACACCAGACUCACCACCAUGGCCAUGUACCCCCACGCCCGCCUCCGCUGCAUGUGUUCCUGCAACAGGUGCACUUAUUGCCUGUGUCAAAACCUCCUCAAGUUGGAGCUGCUGCGCAGCAUUAAGGCGCAACUCUGCAGGGUCGUUUACAACAGGUUCAUACACAGAUGUAGCCGUAGUGUUUUUACCAUAGACUCCCUGCUCUUCCUCUCCAGACUCAGUAACACUGCUGGCAGUCGUAGCUCCUCUGCUCUCCCUCAGUUUUUGGCAGCAGUCAGAUUUCCUCUGCAUUUCCACUGCAGGAACUAAAACAGUUGCAUUAGUUGCAGAACAGGAAUGGUUUUGGUUUUUGUCACAGUGGGAGGCUGUUACAGGAAAAGACUUGAACACAUCAAUGCACCCGUAUGUGUCGGAUCAUUUUAAAUGAGACAUCCUCGUUCAUUUGGUGUUGGAUGUCUUGGUUUCUGCUGCAGCUCCAGCCGGCCGAGUCUCUCUCUGUUCAGUCUGGCACAUGGCGUUGUGACCAGCCUGUGCCGGCUAACACCCAGGCUGGUAGCCAGGGAGGUACCGUGUGUCUGCGUGGAAGUGGCGUGUUGCAUGCUGCAUGACUGCAGCGCUAGCUAAACGGACAGGAAAACAUUUUUGUUUUCAGAGGCAUUUUUAUUAAUAUGAGGAUUGAUUUAUUAAAGAUAGAGAAGUAAAUGCAACGUUUGCAUAUUUUUAAGCCAAAUAAUUAUAAGUUUGUCCCAAGGCUUGACAAUAUAAUUUCCCAAUUUCUUCUUACCAGAUACAAUUUCCAAUUUUAAGCAUUUUUUCCCUCAUUUCUUUUCUAAUAAAAAGAAAUUACAAUUGUCAGAAAAUAUUUUCAAAAAUAGCUUUUAUUGCAAUCGUCCCUUUUUAAGUUGUAUGUUGGAUUUUUAGGUCCUGACUGUGAGAGUUUUUAUUUAAUUACAAGUAUAUAGUCAUAACAUUAGUAGAAUAAAGACGAUUUUACCAGAAACAAAAUCUUAAAAAUAAUGAGAAAAAGUUUGUUUAAUGAGAAAAUAGUCCCUUCUUCAAAAUAUUCAGUUGUUUGCAUGAUUAUUUCAAAGUCUGGCUACAGAUAACUUGAUAAUGAUGUUUUAUUUAAGUAUUUAAAAAGUACUUCUGUAAAUUAUCUGCAUGCACUUUCCUAAUUUAAUGUGCUACUUUUGGACUUCUCAUAAACUUACUACUUUAUUCUUUUAAUAUUAUGACUUUAUUCUUGCAAUUUAAAAAAAUAAAUGAAUCUUAACCUGGUGCUACUAUCCCACCAUUGAGUUGACUUGAAUUCAAAGUCCAAAUAAAUAAAAGCUGUAAAACUUGCUUGUCAAACAACAUGGCCGCCCUGGGCGCUCUGACAUCACUCUGAACUAUGGAAUUCCAUGAAGUGCAUUUGUCAAAGAAAAAAAAUCCAGAUUUACCAAAAAUUAAAUGUUCAAAAACCUAAAAUAUUGAUAAAAUUACAUUUAUCAUCAAGCUGUAGUGUGGACUUAAUGUAACUUUUGAUGCAUUUUAAAGAUACAGAAAACAAACUAAAGCUUCUUUUAGCCUUUUCUAGCUUGUGUGAAUCGUCAGAUCAGUGAGCUGUUUGAUGCCUGAGUUCCUGCAGUGGAGUUACAGACUGUAAACUCUGACUUGUUUAUAUACAAAAUGAGAGAAACACAGCCAUUCUUCUGAGUUUGUGUUUCAUUCGCUCUGAAAACUUCAUUCUGUUCAGCAUGUUUAAUUUCUCCCUGAACUCAAAAAUCCAAAGUACUUGUUUUCUCUGGAUAACUUUAAUCAGCUGCUCGUCUGAUAAGAUUUGAUGUUUUCAGUCUCAUUUUGUCUUUUAUUUUCUUGCCUAACGCUGAAGUCUUAACACACAGUGGACCAUAAUAUUCCUGCUUUGUAUUUGAAUUUGAAUUGAACAUAAUCAGGUUGCGUCUGUGUCUCCUGUGUGUUAACGCCUGAUAAAUUUGAUUAACAGGCUUUUUGAAAUCAGAAUGUGUUUUUAUGUUUUUGAUUGAUUAAAUUGCACUGAUCACUUUAAUUUCAUCCUGUUUUUCUUUUCCCCCCACGCCUGUUAAUGUCUUUCCUCUCUGUAGGUGUUCAUAUCCGUGUUUCUGGCUGCCGCUUUUCCUCUUCCUCUUGCAUCUCUUAACCUUUUUUUAACACCUGAUGCCCUGACUUACUUGUUCUCUAGCUUUUAAAUUAAACCCAUGUUGGUGCUUAGCGAAAUGCUGCCAUCUACUGGUUUUGUUUGUCUCGAUAAUAACCGGAGCUCAGUGUUUUGAAUCUGGUGGGAGUUUGGUUUAAUCAGAGGGAGGGGAGUUGUCGGGUGUGGGAAUGUUUCUGAUAAAUUUGACCCGAAUGGAACCGGACCGUGCCACGUUUCAUUCAGUGCUAACUUUUUUUUGUUUCGAUUCCUUUUUCUUCUUCUUCUCGGUUAUUAAAGCAGCAGCUGUAGCUGUAGAUCAUCACAGCCAGCUGAGCUAGAACGACUUCAGGAAAUGCUUAGGAUUCAUUAAAGUUUCACAUCAGAACAGCCAGAAUGGUCACAAAGAUGAAUCUGGUAGUAAAUUAAAGAAUCAUAACAUCUUCAGGCUAUAAUAACAGGUUUAUCAUGGGACAGUAUUACUUUCCAGGCUGGCUAUUUUUUGGUGUGAACUGCUUUUAUUUGCUGUAUUUGUGGAGCUUUUUGUGUUUGAAUUCUAAAGAGAUGUGGAGCUGGGUGAAACUUUAUUUUAAUCAUUGUUCUUUUUUGUUUUAUCGUUUUAUAAGAUUCAAAGGAAACUUUUCUGUUAAUUAAAAAAAAGUGGAAUCACUACUUCUAAUUCAUUGAUUUGAUCAAAUUCAACAACCUUUAACAGUAUAAAGCUUGAAGAUUUUAGAUUUAUACACCUUUUUAAAAAAAAACAUUUAAUGUUUACUUCUGAAUCCACUGUCAGUUAUUGUAAAAAUGAACUUUUUUUAAUUGCAACAUUAAAAUAUAGUUUAAUACAAUCAUACAAUUAUAUUAUAGGAUGCAUUAAGAUUCUUCCAUUGUUUUGAAUUUGGAAGAAAUUCAGUGAUGAACCUUUAACAAAAGAGCUUCACAAUUAAUGCAGUUUGUCAAUUGUCAUUGCAUAUGAAACCAACCAAUUAACUUUAGAUUUUAACAUUCAUUUAAUAUAGUACAUAGCUAUGUAUUCAUAACUGAAAUCUUAAACAUGAGACUAUCAGUAUUAGGGAUUAAAGGGAUUUACUAGGCGAAAAGUCUAAUUAUGAAUUGUUUAAAAUAUAUAUAUUUUAAAGAAUUGUGGUCAUUUUGAGGUUCUCUGAUGUUUGAUAUUAGUUUCCUUCUGUAUCAGAGAUAAUAAACUAGAGGUCAUAAUUAGGAUUUUCCCUUCACUCCCAGAGAGUUUUAGGAUCUCGAUCACCUAAAUCUCUACUGGGAUGAUCAUUGAAUGCCCACUUACUGGCCACUUUAUUAAGUACACCUUGCUGCUACCAGGAUGGACAGUUUUUUUCUGUGGAAAAGACUCCACAGGGUUUCUGGAACAUUCCUUGUUUGCUCCGUAUUAACAGGAAAGGAUUGUAUAGUUGGUUGAAGUUUUGUCUUCUGCACAUCCACGAUUCAUAUGAUGCUUCUACCAAUCGCCCCUAUAGUACUACAGAUCAGUGAGAUCUGUUGAUUAAUCACUUCAAACACCAACAAGCCAUUUUCUGACCCCUGACUUGAAAUGUUUGCAUUUAGUCUCUUAAAUUUUUGUUUUUCCACGUUUUGAUGUGGAAGAACAAAAGUCGUAAUUACCACAUCCUGAUGCCUAAACCCACUAAGUCUCUGCUUUGUGAUUUGGCAGCCAAAUCGGUGUACAUAAUAAAGUUGCUCAAACAGCCUUGUGAUUAUUAAACUUCACGCACUGAUAUUGAUAUUCCUGUAUCGUGCAGGUUAAAAUUAAACAAACCACCUUGGAUUUAAUAUGAAUGUUAAUGCCGUUUGUAAAUUCCUAAUAAUAAAACAGUAACAGAUGCACCACUAACCUAUAGUUGCAGCCCCAGUGUGUAUAAUUCUGCGGUAUCUCCCAGCUUCACCUGCUGUGUGGCGUUGUGACUGUGUUUGUGGGAACGCUGCUGGGCUGGGUGGAAGUAGCUCUGAGCUUCCUGCUGUCAGGGGAGGAUUUCAGGCUGGUGCUGCAGGUUAGACGGUCAUCUCCAACAUGGAGGAGCCCGCUUAUAUGAAGGCCUCCGCUUGAGCAGCCAGCUUCUCCACAAAGGCACAUGGCCCAGGCGGACCUGAAGAACUCCACCUUCUGGCUGAGGGCCAGCCUCGGUGCCACCGUGUUCGCAGUGUUGGGCUUCGC